rnacentral:rRNA from 1 species
UACAGGGGGUGCAAACGUUGCUCGGAAUUAUUGGGCGUAAAGCGCGCGUAGGCGGCCACUUAAGUCGGAUGUGAAAGCCCUUGGCUCAACUGAGGAAGUGCACCCGAAACUGGCAGGCUUGAGUACUAAAGAGGGUCGCGGAAUUCCCGGUGUAGAGGUGAAAUUCGUAGAUAUCGGGAGGAACACCGGUGGCGAAGGCGGCGACCUGGGUAGAUACUGACGCUGAGGUGCGAAAGCGUGGGGAGCAAACAGG